rnacentral:piRNA from 1 species
UAAUGAUAGAGGUCUACUGCUAAGUGUAC